AGAAGAGACGAAGGAAGAAACUAAGAGGGGACAAAGGGGUGGCGUGGGGUUCUCUUUCCUCGGGGCAGGAUAUUGUCCUUGAAAACCAAAUGCCUUUUACUUAAAAAUUGUUUGUUGAAAAUGUUCAUGCAGUCGGUCUAGUGUUGGCUCACCUCUCUCGGGUCUAGUGUCAGGCCGUUUAUUCGGUCUGGUGCUGGCUCGCUCGUUCUCCGUUUUAAACUUGUCUUAUUUGUGUCUUUGUAGACUUUGAUGCUGGCUACACGGUAAAGGGCCGUGUGUAUGCCUCCAAUCUCUCUUGAUGUAUUUUUGAUUUGCUUAAAUUAUGUGCGUUACGGAAAUAAAACAUCAUCGAACGAAAACCCGCUUUGAGUGGAGGUUUUACAAAACCUUUCAAUAUUUCUAAUAUUGACCAUACUGACUGUCUUGACUGACUGACUGUCUAAAGGAAAAGUGGUGGUGAAAUCUAUCUUUGUUUCCCAUUUGAGAAUGGAAUCGCAUGACGAAUUCAAGAGUGAAGGAAAGUGUUGUGGGGACGAAAGUCCCAGCACAAGUAGUGAAGACACAGUGAAUGAAGAACGUCUAGCAGGUUGGUCAAGAACACAGAUCGAUACAAACAAGUUUGUAGAGCAGCAGAAACUGGCUUUGGCUGCGAUAGCUGAUAAAAAUUACAAAGCUGCUGCGGAUUACCUGACAGUUAUGAUUAACAUGAACCCUUCCAUGUCCCCACUCUACGUGAAAAGAGCCAAUUGCUUCUUGAAUCUCAACAUUCCACAUGCGUGUUUCAUUGACUGCAAUUGUGCACUACGCCUAAAUCCAGACUCAGGUUUAGCUUAUAAAUAUAGAGGAUGGGCGCAAAGUUUCUGGUCAUCUGGAGCAGGCAGUUCAAGACUUACGUCUAGCAUUUCAACUACAUUAUGACACGCAAGCUGACGAAUGGUUACGAGAAGCAACAAAUGUAUACAAUAAGGUUCCUAAGUUUAAUGGAGCAGUUACACGUCCUGCGUUAACAGAUCCUGGAACUCAAUGGAGAGCGUGAAAGGAGGAAAAAUUCGAAAGACCGUCCGUAAAAAAGGAUGAGACUGGUUCCAACUUCAGAACUGUUUGAAGGGCUAAAAAAAUUAGAAGAAAUUCUGAAUUAUGAGUUCCGCGACAAGAAUUUGCUACUGGAAGCGCUAACAUACUCACGGAAGAUAGCAGUAUUUCGCCCUUGUUACGAGCGCUUCGAACACCUUGGGGACGCUUUUCUCGGAGGCUUGGCGGCUUAGAUGUGCUUUGACGCUUCACCGUUCUAUCCUCCAAGUGUCUUGUCUGAACUGAAAAGCGUCUUGGUCUGCAACAACUCCUUAGGCGUUCUGACGGUGAAAUUCAAGUUUCACAAAUUCCUGAAACGUUUGCCAAGAGAAAUAUAGACCUUAAUCGACACGUUCGCCAAGAAACAAGAGGCAAAUGGACAUAAAUUUUCUUCAGCAGCAAUAUUACGAGAUUGUGAAAUUGGGUAACCCCCUGAAGACUAUGCUGCGACUAAUGUUCCUCCCGAUGUCCUAGGAGACAUUUUCGAGUCGAUCGCGGGAGCAGUUUAUAAAGAUUCAAACUAUUCGAUGACAACUUUCAGAACUGUUAUGACCCCGUUCCUCAACUACACUUUUGUCAACGCAAAGUCUGGAUCUUCCGAAGUCAUAAAGAGAAUCAAAGGUGUCUGAUUUGAUUUCAGCUUAACAGUUGGGCUAUCGCUUACUUCCGGCCAACUUCCGUAAAAUUUCCAUAAAACUAUAAUAAGUGAGCUUUGUUCUCUAGUUCUCCAGGUUUCUUCUUUUCUUGUUAGGUUUAAGUAAAUUCAAGUGCGCUGUUCCAGUUUAGUGAGUAUUUAAACUAUUGAUCUGCAUUGUCGCCCAUCUAGAGUUGGAUACCGUAUGACGAUUUCGAGGAAUCGUAUACAAAAAGAUUAAUAACUGUUUUAAUUAUUCUUUUACACCAUAAUUAGAAUAGCGGAAACCAAUUUCAGGACCGACGUUCUUUUUAACGAGAAUUGGAGUUGUGAUUUUGCUAAUUCCAUUUACAGAGAGUCAAUAUGCUCGUAUGAGCUACUUUGGAUUUAUAUCUAUAUGGAUAUAUAUCUGGCCACUGGUGCAAGUCACUGUAGUCGACGCAACUCAAAAAGAACAUUGUUUCCAGUUACAUAUUAUAAAUCGAAAAACGAAACUUAAGUGAAAUACCGUUAACUACCGUUAAAUACCCAUCUGAUCAUGCAGAAAAUAGACGCUCCCUAGCGUCCCUUGGCCAUUAAAUUUGUGGGCCUUUCAGCGGCGCCGGAAGAAAAAUUUUAAAGCUCUUUUCUUUUUUCAUUUAUUAUCUUAACUUUGUCUAAAUACGCUCCGGAAGAGAAUACUUAUCGGUAAUUAGUGGAUUACAUACUGUACAUAUCAUUUUAAAAAAUUACUGGAUUAUCACCACAAUUUUCUUUAUCUCCCUGAAUACAUUACACAAACUAAUCGCUGUAGUGUACAACCGACACAGUUUGUUUGUAUUUUGUAACAGAUAUUACAGAGCUGUUCUUCAGAAA